GGUACCAAUCCCCAACUCUCGUGGUAGCAUUAACUCUCUUUCCAGAAUUCCACUGCUACUCCGACACUCCCUUUCCCAAUCCCCGACUCCAAAGCCAUUGGCCACGAAUCCACUGCCUCCUAGAUCUCUCAGGUACCAAUCCCCAACUCCGAGCCCCUUGACCACGACUCCACCACCUCUGAGAUCUCUCUGGUACCAAUCCCUGAAGCCCUUGACCAUGACUCCACCGCCUCCGAAACCUCUUUGGUACCAAUCCAUGAUUUGUCUUCGAAUAUGAUAAAUUCUCGUCCUCUCGAAUCUGGAAUUGGGUCUCCAGUUAUUGCUAUGGCGAGUUCACACAAGAAGAUUACUACUUCUAGAGUGUAGUUUACAGAAGAAGACAUAAACUUACCCAAGUGAGGGAGAUGUGUAUCUAUUCAGUGGUUGCAUUACAUCAUGGAAACUACCAAAUGGGAAAAACCUCUUU